UACGUAGGGGGCAAGCGUUGUCCGGAUUCAUUGGGCGUAAAGAGCGUGUAGGCGGCCAGAUAGGUCAGCUGUGAAAACUCGGGGCUCAACCCUGAGACGUCGGUUGAAACCAUCUGGCUAGAGUCCGGAAGAGGAGUGUGGAAUUCCCGGUGUAGCGGUGAAAUGCGCAGAUAUCGGGAAGAACACCCGUGGCGAAGGCGGCACUCUGGACCACAACUGACGCUGAGGCGCGAAAGCUAGGGGAGCAAACAGG
rnacentral:rRNA from 1 species